rnacentral:rRNA from 1 species
CCUACGGGAGGCAGCAGUGAGGAAUAUUGGUCAAUGGACGCAAGUCUGAACCAGCCAUGCCGCGUGCAGGAAGACGGCUCUAUGAGUUGUAAACUGCUUUUGUACGAGGGUAAAUCCCGAUACGUGUAUCUGGUUGAAAGUAUCGUACGAAUAAGGAUCGGCUAACUCCGUGCCAUCAGCCGCGGUAAUACGGAGGAUUCAAGCGUUAUCCGGAUUUAUUGGGUUUAAAGGGUGCGUAGGCGGUUCGAUAAGUUAGAGGUGAAAUCCCGGGGCUCAACUCCGGCACUGCCUCUGAUACUGUCGGGCUAGAGUGUAGUUGCGGUAGGCGGAAUGUAUGGUGUAGCGGUGAAAUGCAUAGAGAUCAUACAGAACACCGAUGGCGAAGGCAGCUUACCAAACUACGACUGACGUUGAGGCACGAAAGCGUGGGGAGCAAACAGGAUUAGAUACCCUAGUAGUC